rnacentral:piRNA from 1 species
UGGUUGCCACGAGGCAGAUCACAGGUCCUC